UUGACCUCGGAUCAGGUAGGACUACCCGCUGAACUUAAGCAUAUCAAUAAGCGGAGGAAAAGAAACCAACAGGGAUUGCCCCAGUAACGGCGAGUGAAGCGGCAACAGCUCAGAUUUGGAAUCUGGCCCCCAGGGCCCGAGUUGUAAUCUGGAGAGGAUGCUUCUGGCGCGGCGCCUUCCGAGUUCCCUGGAACGGGACGCCGGAGAGGGUGAGAGCCCCGUACGGUCGGACGCCCAGCCUGUGUGAAGCUCCUUCGACGAGUCGAGUAGUUUGGGAAUGCUGCUCAAAAUGGGAGGUAAAUUUCUUCUAAAGCUAAAUAUUGGCCAGAGACCGAUAGCGCACAAGUAGAGUGAUCGAAAGAUGAAAAGCACUUUGAAAAGAGGGUCAAACAGUAUGUAAAAUUGUUGAAAGGGAAG
rnacentral:rRNA from 1 species